rnacentral:lncRNA from 1 species
CCAUCGCAGUCGAUCUUGACCUCUGGGCUCAUCGUGUCCUUGGAACACGGACACAGAUGUGGCGUACCUUAUUUUGUAACAUAACUUAAGUACUCUCGCCUCUCCUACCCCCACAUCGCAAACAUGUCAAUUACAUGGUCGUAAAUAAUGUAAGGUAACAUAAUACAAAAUAGAAUAAGAGAUUCUGAUGGUCAAGGUGUAGCCUUAAAUACCACAAUGAGGCAAACUGCGGCAUGCGUCAAGUGUAUCAUCCACUAUCAAUGCAUCUCCUUUGUCAAUUGUCGCUUCCAGCUCUAAUAAAAAGGAAGGGCAACAUUAUACACACAAGAAUGGCAGAUCAUAGAUGUCAACUCAGCGGUGUAGCAUAUUAUUUGAAUUUUAUUUGCAAAUUCGGAACUGUCAAAUAUGUCACUCAUUCCUUCCUUUAAGCAAAAGAAUCAAUAAGUGCUAUUUGAUGCUUUUCUAAGCUAAUGCUAUUUCAGGUAGCAAAAGGAUUGGCACGAAGAUAAUAAUAAUGAUAGGUAUGCUACACUUAACAUAAUUUCAUAUCAAGCAAUUCAAAUUUCAGUACUUAUAUACUGCAACAAGUUACUUUUUUAUUUUUAGUCUUCGGAAGACCAGAGAAGAGCUAUUAUAACAUUUAUCAUAUAUGAUCCUGCAUAGAUUCUAAAAUGAAAUUUUAGAACAAGUUAUCCACAAUCUGUGUCUUCUAUUAUAAAUUAGGCAACUUUGAGCAAGAUUCACUGUCCUUAAUUAUAUAGCUUCUUAAUAUUUUCCAGCUAUGCACUUCUUCUUUUAUUUUAUUUCUAUAAAAAGAGAUAACAACGGAUUUUAAUGAUCUUGGAAAUCCGAAUGAUAAUAAUAUAGCAGCUCACCGUUUCAAGAGAAAAAUAACAUCUGCUUUAAUUUCAGUUUGGAUGACAGUAGCUGCAAGCUUGCUCCUACCAUGUAUAUAUGUGCUUGUAUGGCAUAGAAAGAGAGGAAAGCUACAUUUUUUCUUAUGUGAAAAGACUAGCAGAAGCACUCAAAGGAACAUUGAGGCCCUAAUAGUUUUGCAUGGAUCCCUAGCUCCAAAAAGAUACAAGUAUUCAGAAGUAACAAAGAUAACGUCUUCCUUUAGUAAUAAGCUUGGGGAAGGUGGUUAUGGUGCAGUUUUCAAAGGAAGGCUAGAUGAUGGUCGUCAAGUUGCUGUGAAAUUCUUGCAUGAUUCCAAAGGAGAAGGGGAGGAGUUUGUUAACGAGGUUAUGAGCAUUGGUAGGACCUCUCAUGUUAAUAUUGUUAACUUAUUUGGGUUUUGUUUGGAAGGCUCAAAGCGGGCCAUAAUAUAUGAGUACAUGCCCAAUGGUUCUUUGGAUAAGUUCAUAUACUCAGAGAAUCCUAAAGCAGUUUUAGGAUGGGAUAAGCUCUACACAAUAGCGAUUGGAAUUGCUCGAGGAUUGGAAUACUUGCAUCACAGUUGUAAUACACGCAUUAUCCAUUUUGAUAUCAAGCCUCAAAAUAUCCUUCUAGAUGAGGAUUUUCACCCAAAGGUUGCUGAUUUUGGUUUGGCCAAAUUAUGUCAUACCAAGGAGAGCAAGCUUUCUAUGGCUGGUGCUAGAGGAACAGUUGGUUUCAUCGCUCCUGAAGUGCACUCUCGAACCUUUGGAGUUGUUUCAACUAAAUCAGAUGUUUAUAGUUAUGGAAUGAUGCUAUUAGAGAUGGUUGGAGGCAGAAAAAAUGUGAAUUCAAUUGCUCAAAAGUCAAGUGAAAAGUAUUUUCCACAUUGGAUUUAUGACCAUUUUGGUCGAGGUGAUGGAUUACAAGCAUGUGAUGUCUCAAGUGAAAAUGAAGGAAUAGCCAAAAAGAUGAGUGUGAUUGGCCUGUGGUGUAUCCAAAUACUACCAAUGCAUCGCCCUACCAUAACAAAGGUUUUGGAAAUGUUUGAGCGAGCUUUAGAUGAACUGGACAUGCCACCGAGGCAAAACUUCAGCCAAAUCCUGUAAGAUAUUUAUGAUACGUUUUGCUGCAGCUACCCUGCACCAUUUACCAAUUGAUGUAGCAACAAUUCUUUUAUUGUUUUGCAGCGAAGAUCCAAAUUACAAUUUGAAUGCACAAAGCUUGAGUACAAGCAGUGGUACCAAAACACAAGUUUUUAGCGAAGUGCUAAAGAUGAAGGAGAUGAGCUUAGAGAAUUCAAAACUCUUACAGCGGUUACCAACUCUGUGACAAGGUUACCUAGCAUUGGAAUUGAGCAUUGAACUUGUGCAUGUGUAUUGGAGGGGGUAGAAAUCUUAAGUUACUCAAAUACUUGUCUCAAAACAAAAUGCUAAAUGCCUACUAUAUUAUUUUGCAGUCAAAGCCAUUAAGGCCCCAAGAGGGAAAGUUAUAUCUGCAAGUAUUCAUACGAUAUUUUUGACAUAAUCCUAACAUACUUAUAUCCUGUUAAUUAGAGCUUCUCGUUGUGCUUCACUGAUGCGCCAGCACCCCUUAUAGUCAUCCAACACCCAAACUUUACCCAAAAUCUCCUAAAUGUUAAUGACACAUCUGUACUGGAAUCAAUUAACAUUUGAAAAAUAUUCAUCAAGGCAUUACGCGUCCUAGAAAAAUCAAGACAUUCAGUUUUGAAGCUAUGACCUUAGUAGAGUCGAGCAGCAUAUAGUUGGAUCGUCCUGGAUUAAUGGCAUGCUGAAAUAUGAGGAUGGAGCUGAUGGUAGCCAUGACUGAGGUCGAAAAGGGCAUGCAUGUUGCUUGACUAUUUUUUUUUGAACGAAUGGGCACGAGGUUAUGCCUAUUUCAUUGAUAGAGAAGGAUAGUACACCCGGCUAGCUGGUUAGGAUACACAUGACUACGCAAUUACUCGCGAGAUGAAAAAACCGCUAAGUCCUUUGCGCCCGCUAUCAUCCACGCUCCGGCUUCUUCCUUGAUUUUCACGAAUAAUGCAAUGGUUGCCAUUUCCUUUUGAUUGAAUUCACACCUUUUGCUUUCCUUCCAGAUUUCCCAUAUGAUGAGCAGUGUAAUGGAGCACAUUUCCUUCCUUCCAGAUUUCCCAUAUGAUGAGCAGUGUAAUGGAGCACAUUUCCUUCCUAGGCGCUUCUGUUUUGGUAGUCAUGUUUAUCCACCAGUCCAGCGUGUUGUUGCUUUGUCGUCAUGCUGAGGGGUGUAUGCUUGGUUGUGCCGUCCAAUCCGCCACCAGGCUCCAAAUCCUUUUGGUGAAUCUGCAUUCGGCCAGUAGGUGAUGGGCUAUCUCUAUUCCGCAUCUGCAUAAAGGGCAUGAAGGAGAGUGUGGCCAUCCCCUACGCACUAGCCGAUCAGCUGACCACACUCGGUUUUGUAGUAUUAGCCAUGCAAAUAAUUUGCAUUUCGGCGGCGCCCAAUAGCGCUAGAGUGUUUUGCUAUGUGGUGUUUUGGUGGAUCCAAAAAAAUGUGCUUUGUACGCCGAGGCCGUCGAGUACUUGCCAUUCGCCAAACUUCCAGCAAAUACUGUCCUCCUGUUGUGGUUGUAAUUGGACCUCUGUAGUGAGUCACCAAAGCAUCGUAAAUUCUUGAAGGUGCAAUGGUGUAAUGCCACCGUGUAUGUUUAGGUCCCUGAUCCAGUUAUUCGCCUACAAGGCUUCUGCCACGCUUCUUUUUUCUUUUUGAGAUCGCGAAAAUGUUAGGUGCAAAGUCCUUUGGCCUACGGCCUUGCAUCUAGCCCGACUGCCAGAAGCUCGCCUUGUGGCCAUUCCCUACUGUGAUGUUCGUACAAGCCGUGAAUAGAAGUCUAUCAGUGUCAUCACAUGGUGUCUCCAUUCCGAUCCAUGUUUUUUGCUACUCCCAUUCAUGCCACAGCCAUAGUAAUCUGAGUGGUCUUGCAAACUUGCGUAGAUUAAGAACCCCCAGUCCUCCAUUUUCCUUUGGUAGACAGCUUCUAAUCCAAUUUAUACCUUGCAUUUGCCCCCAGUCAGUGCUUUGUCUCCUGCCCUCAAGAACUUUUUCCUUAUUUUGUCUAGAACGUCAAAGACUUUGUUUGACAUCUUGAGUACUGUCAAUAGGUAGAGCAGUUGUGCUGUUAGCACCGUUUUGGUGAGGCAGGUAUGCCCUACUUGGUUGAGAUUGCGGCCGAGAGCUUGCCUGCUGCUUUGUCGAUCAAAGGUUAGAAGUCAAUUUUCUUUAGUCGCCUUAUUGCGAGCGGGAGUCUGAGGUGUCUUAUCAGGAGUCCUGUUGUAGUUAUUGGGAGCCUCGAUAGGAUUUCCUCCAGGUUGACACACUCACAGCUUAUUGGAGCCACACUUGUUUUUUGAAGGUUUGUUCUCAGUUCGGUUGCCUCGCCAAAAAGGCUCAAUAGUUGUGUGGCAUUCGCAAUGUCUGCAGCUGUUGGCUUUAUGAAGCUAACUGCGUUGUCAGCAUAUAUUGAGAUACAUGCGUGUGCUACUCGCCCCUCCAGCUUGCUUAGUAGGCCUAAGUCCGUUGCUUUGUGUAUUAGCUGGUAUAGUGGGUCUAUCGCCAGGAUGAAGAGGAAAGGGGACAAUGGGUCUCCUUGUCGUAGGCCGUGUCUAUGCACAAUCGAGUCUAACAGGAUGUCGUUCAAUAGAAUUUUUGAAGUGGAUGUGGUGAGCAUUGUCGUGAUCUAGUCCCGCCAUCUUGGGGGGAAGCCUCUGUGCUAGAGUAGUGAGAGUAGGUAGUCCCAAUGCACCGAGUCGAAGGCCUUUGAGAUGUCCAGCUUCAUUAGUAAAGUAGGUGCUUUGUUCCUGUGGAAUCGAUGGCUCAUAUUCCGAACAUACAAGAAGUUGUCAUGGACACUUCUUCCUUUGAUAAAGGCACUCUAACAUGGCGAUAUUAGUGCUUCCAUAAAUGGCGCUCGACGUAGCGCAAGUAUUUUACUGAUGAUUUUGGCGAUGGCGUGUGUUAGGCUGAUUGGUCUGAAGUCUUGGAUGCUUUCGGCCCCCUCCUUCUUGGGGAGUAGUACUACUGUAAUGGCCUCGGAUAAAAAUCCUUUGCGUCAAUCUUAAUCCGAGUCCCUUAUCACCUGUCUCAGUUUUCCCAGCCUAAGUGUUCAACCUCCAGAUCUCCCGACCCCUUCGAUCCGACCCCUCGCCGUGUUUCCCGAGUUCCGACCCCGCCGACCCCCAACCCACCGUCGGAUCUUUCUAAGCCAUCCCACAGCGUCGCCCUUCAAUUCGAGCCGUGGACCUCCGAGACUGACCGGUGGACCCACGAGAUCUUUCUUCCAGAUCUCCCGCGACAGGCGCACUCGAGUUGCAUGCCCGCUUCAGAAUUCCCCAGCCGCGUGGCUCAACUCCUCCGACGCCCGCCGUUCCACCUCGUCGCCGGCCACGACCGGAUGGAUUCUCGCGCCCCCUUCCCCAAUCGCGGUAGAAGCUCCUCUGCUACCCUUUCUGCAGCACCUCGCCGCCCGCGCCCAUCAUCACAUCGCCAGAUCCCGGCUGCAGAGCCCGAUGCCGCCCGUCUUUUCCGUCACCUCUCCACAGUCGCGCCGCCCCGGUCCUCGCUACGCGACGAUUCCUCCUCCGCCAACCCAGACCGCGGCAGCGACAGCUCCUUUUCCCGCCUUGUCAGAAGCUCCUCCCCGACAAUCUGUUGCUCCGCGCUCGCCCGCGCGACCGCAGCCGCCUGUCUUCUCACCUGUGCGCCCUCGUUUCUAGCGUCGUUUUCCCAGUCACUUCCAUCAGAUCCACCGCAUGACGACGCCCACCUCUGCCAAAUCUCAACCACCGGCAAACCCGCGCCUACGCCGCCCUGACGUCAGUGCCCAAUAACCGCCGGUGUCAUCCCCGAUUCCUGCUCCACCGCCCUCGUCGCUCAAUCGUCGCCCCAGCAGGGCACUCCAUCGCUUCUUCCCCGGCCUUUGCGCCGCUUCCCCCUUCCCUCUUCCGCGCAGCUAUAAAAUGGAAUGCCGGAGCCCCGCCGGAGUUCCCCUUUGCCAUCGCUGCCCUCUCUCUUACUCCCUGUUCGUGCUCACAGCGCCACCACCUAAGUCUGAGGAACUCUCCUCUCCGCGCAAACACCACCUUCCCCGAAUCCACCAGCCACUGCUUUCAGUGCUGCCCCAGAGCUUGCUUGUGAUCCACAAGAAGCACCGCCGCCGCCGGAAUACCGCCGGACAUCCUCGCCGCUGUCCCAAGCCCCUUAGUCCUUCCGCCCAAGCCUCCUCUGUAAGAUGAAGGUAAGCUGCCGACCCUUUUGUCCGUCUCGCCCGACCCCCCCCCUAUCCGCCCGACCCCGGUUCCGUCUCGCCCGACCCUGUCUGUUCCGCCGACCCUUCUCCACCUCGCCCGAGGGCUCGGCUGUAUCUUUUUCCUUGAACCGAGGGUAUAUGUGUAAAACUUGGGGACUUUUCAGCGUUAAGUCUGAGGAUCCCUAGCACAUCUAUUCCUCUAGAUUAAGGGUCUGAUCAUAAGUUCCUUCCCAUCCGACCCUCAUAUCUUGAUCUCCAUCAACUCAAGCGAACCUCCCCACCCUCCUGUAACUUGCCGCAAAUUUCUGGGCUCAAACUUGCAAGUGUUGCUGUUGAAAUAACCGUCUAAAUGCUAACCAAUGCAUUGCAUUCGUGUAGAGCUGCGUCUCGCCGACGGCUUCUACGAGUUGCACCCGACGCCAGAAGAAGAAGGUGUAGCCGAGCUCCUGCCUCCAGAAGCCGAAGCUGCCCAAGCAGACGAGCAGUUUCCCUCCUCCUUGCUCGAAGGCAAGCCCUGGAUGCAUGAAUUUCCCUAUGUUUUUUACCAAACUUGCGCAUGCCUUCUUUAUCAUGCUUGUGCAUUUACGUAUAGGAGUUGUUUGGAACCAUAGAUGCAUAACUUAGCUUCCUUGAUCUGAACACUAGCUGUUGGACCGGGUAGAUGCUUUGCUUAAAUAGGAAACGGUAAAAGCCGAGUGAUUUCCUAUCACUCGCGAGUUGUAGGAGUUGGUUGUUUCCCCUUCUGUUACAACUAUAAGGAUGAUGGACGGGGCAGGGUUUUGGGUAACUUUUUGGUGGUCGGUUGAUCGCCCCGUAUGUCUAUGAAACUUGCUAAGGCCCGACAGUGGUGGUGUUUGUGAUCAAGUGUUUGAAAGUACUAAUCUCAUACCUAGUAUGGGAUGGGGAAGCCUAGUACCUGAUUGAACUAGAGCGUGGCUUAUACCCCUGUUGUCCCUGGAAUAAGGUUCCCAUGGUGCAUCAUGUGGGUGCAAGUGUGGUCACAGUACGGUAGAGGCCGGGACUGUGGAGCAUUGCAUGCCAAGGGAAGUUUGGACCUGACACGCGCCUGGGAAUUGAUGGGGACGGCCGACACAGGAAGCGACCCUUGUGGUGCGCGGAUAUCGUGAGAUUAGGUUCGCCAUGCAUGGUUAAGAAACUCGAAAUCGAUUCGUCUGCCUCUCACAGUUUGAGAUUGCUUGAUCGCUAUGUCAUCCCGAGUAAUAAAGGAAUCUGAUGAUGACAUGGUUUGUGAUGAUAUGUAUAUAUACCCUUGGUUGGUUCUAUGGUUGCUUAGAAUAAGUUGCUAACUUAGACUGGAUAAUGAACUUAGAACCUGAGCUAAAACUUUGAAAGUAGGGAUACACCUAGUGCUUUUGGCAAAGCAAACCCCUCAGCCAAAAAGCUUUGCAUGUCUAGAAGAAGUGGGGUAGCGUACUCCCUGUCGGUUAAGUCUUGUUGAGCUUAGUAGCCCAGCCUUGUUGUGGCUCUUCUUUUCAGGUGAAGUUGCUGCCUCUGAGCCUCCCUCUGCUGGCACUUGGCCGCCCCAACUCCCUCCGGGUUGGACGGUUGAGUGGGAUCCCUCCUUGGACGGCGAGGAGAGGGAUCACUGAUGUCCCGGUGGGCCUCACCAGGGAUGUCCGACCCCGACGAGUUAGCUUCCGCUAGUUGUUACCUUCUGUUGUUUCUCUUCUGAACUUGUAAACUCUGAUGUUGUUUUAUGGCCAAACUAAAUGGUUAAUUUGAUAACUCGGUGGACUUGUUGUAUUCUCUGGAACCGCUCACCUUCGUGUGGGUUUGCUAUUCGGUCCUAUUCAAGUGGUUAAAUCGGAUGAACUCCAACGGCACUUCAUGUUUACUCGGUUUAGGCGUGAGCGUCGCGUAUCAUGCGGCUUAAUCAUGUUUAACCAAGUAAAUUCGAAGUGGAUCCGCCACAACUACAUUAGCUAUGUUGAGGAGGUUGAGGUCUUUGCAACGAAUGUUGUGGAAGGCAUUAACGGCCAUUGUGACAUCACCUUUGAUUAUGUGCCAACACGAUUUGAAGAAAAGGCCGGUGAAGCUGUCCGGUCCUGGCACCUUGUUCUUUGGAAGCUCUAUGAUUGCAUGAAGUAUUUCUUCCUCUGAAAAGGGGCUAUCAAGCGCGCGUAGAUCCACCGCUGGAAAGUCCAUAAUCUCCCAGUUUAGGUCUCUAGUGCGAUGCUGCGGCAAGCACAUCAUGUUCUUAAAGUGGUCUUGAAUUACCCUUUGCUUGUCUUGGUGGGUUAUUGCCCAGCCACAUUCCUUCUUUAACCUCUGGAUGAAGUUUUUCCUUCUUCUAGCGUUCGCCUUUAGAUGGAAGAACUUUGUAUUUGCGUCUCCCUCGCAUAUGUAGGUGAUUCUGGAGCAUUAUUUUUUUCUUGUUUUUUCAAUAGCCGCCCUCCCAAAAGCCUCCUUUUUAGCUUAUGACGCAAGGAGUAUUCUGCGUUAGAUAGCGCUCUGGUCUCUUCAGCCGUGUCAAGGUGUACAAUGACCUCUUGGGCCAUGUGUAGCUUUAGUUUGGCAUCUGAAAUGAAUGACCUACUCCAUGCUUGAAGCGCGCGGGCAGUGGCAUGCAGCUUGUGCCCCAAUAUGUAAAAAGGCUCUGUGUGACUCAUCAGCUUGGACCAUUCUCGGGUGACUACUUCAUGGAAGCCAGGUAGGCACGUCCAGAAAUUUUCAAAUUUAAAAGGUGUCGGGCAUCUGGGCCCAGAUUGUUGCGCCAAUAGUAGCGGGCAGUGUUAGAGUGUGAGGAGGAAAGUGCAUGUAGGACAUGGUCAUUGAAGUAUAGAUCCCAGCUCUCAUUGCAGAAAACUUGGUCGAGCCAUAUUAAUGUUGGUCAACGCCUAGUGUUACUCCAGAUGUUGUGCAAAUGUAUUUCUUUUAGAUCGCAGUAAUUUAGUGCAGCUCUGAAAUGCCUCCUCAAUCGCCGAUUAAGAUUUCUAUUAUUCUUAUCUCUCGCCCUGUAAAUGAGGUCGAAAUGCCUAGGAUGAGCCAUCGCGUGUCGUCGGCCGGUCUCAUAGCACGUAGGUGUCGUAGGAAUGCAGGUUUUGCAACACGUCGUGACGGGCCAUACACUGUCGUUAGCUGGAAGGAUGAUGUGCUAUGCUUCACUACUGUUGUUGCCGAAAUGGAGAAUUGGCCAAUUUGAACAUCCUCUAUGUUGAUCACCCCGUUGUCCCAGAGGAUGAGGAUUCCUCCCUUUGUGCCUAGAGCUGGUUUGUAGGCAAAUUUGUUCAGGCCAUGCCCCCCAAGAAGGCAACUAGAUCCCCGUCGAUGUUUUGUAGUUUCAUUUCUUGCAAUGUGACAUGUUGUCAUUGCAAUUGUUUCACAAACCAUUAGACAUCUAGCCGGAGCAUUGAGACCUCGCACAUUCCACCACAUUACCUCAAAGUUGCCAAUCAUCUGGGAGUUGCUUUGUUCGCUGGCUUAAGUGUCACGAAUAGGCAAACAAAACAGUGCAGCGUGAGUUCAACUUGGAGAUCGCCUGAAGGUCAUGGCCAGCAGGGUGGAGUUUGUAGGUCAUGAAUUUUGCCUGAAGGUCGAUGCCAGCAGGGCUAGUCAAAUGUCCUCUCCGAAGGUCGCACCCAGCAGGGUGAGGAACUGAUGAUACAAUGCAAUAACGAUACAUUGCGUGCUAUUGACAUGCGUAGGUAGUGCGCCUUGUUUGGAUCAUCAUGGCACCACGUUCUACUUCUGCUGUAGGUCUUGUACCGGGUCGCCCACCAUCUGGAGAAGCGCUUCGUUCAUCUGGUCUGCUGCGUCAUCGUCGAGGUCGAAGAGAGCGGUCAUGGCUGCUAUGACGAACUCUGGAAGGCUCCCCUGGAACAUGCUGAUGAAGUCUUGGAGAACCUGCUCAAUUGGCGCCAAUUCGUCAUCACUGACGCUAAGCUUCCUCCUUAGGUUCCACUAUGCUCGCUCCAUAGUCGGCAUCGUCGGCUUCCUAGCUAGUCGCGCGCUUCGCCGCACCUCGUUCAUGUCAAAGGUGCAGUGCUAGCACGUGCGUCGCACUAGCUGUUGUUGUAGCGCCGGUGGUGCAGGGUUGCGAAAAGGUUCUGGACGUGCGGUGUCUGCGAGCAGCCGUUGACGGCCGGUGCUGGCUCACUAGCCGGAGGCACCAGGUGAUUGUCAUCUUCUACGCUUGCAGUUUCCCCACAUGGGACAGGCCAAGCAGCAUUUGCAGGCUUGUUGGGAGGCCCACUUGCCACGUUCACUGUAGGCAGGUUGGGAGGCCCGUUUAUGACAGCCUGCGUUUGGCCUGUUGCGACCUUUUGUGCCGAAGCUUUGUGGGCCUAUUGGCCCAACAUAUGGGCCUUCUUCGAGUAGGCCGCUUCCGUCAGGGCCUCCUAGCCCAGCCUUUCCGCUGUGUUCGAAGCUGUGUGGGCCUGUUGGCCUAACAUCUAUGCCUUCUUUGAGCCAGCCGCUUCCGCCAGGGCCUCCUGCCCCAGCCUUUCCGCCGUGGCCAUAGCAGAAGCAACCACCGGAGCCUCCUCUCUCGGUGUUGCAGCCGCAGCCACUGUGACGGCGGCCACCGCGACAUCGUCUCCCGGCCUCGCAGGCAUGGCCAUCGCAGCAAUGGUUGCCGAGCACUCCGCUCCUGGCGUCAUGGCCACGGCCAUAGUCGCCGCUGCCGAAGUUGUGAUCUCUAGGCAACGAAGAGCACGUUCGACAUCAGCGGUUGUUGGUGCCAUUACCAUAUUAAUUCUAUCAAAAACUCGGUUAGUAGAGAUUAGUGACUCACUAUGGACAGACCAGGUUCCAUUCCCGGUGAUGAGGUUCCAGCGUGCCGUGGCAGGGGCGUCGUCGAUGCCAAGCCGGUAAGCGAGGCGGCAUGCCUUGUCGAUGUAGCCCGCAGCAUCAUGAAGCCACACCUUCGCUAUGUCACCGAGACGUGCCUGCAUCCCUUUCUUGAGCGCCGAGGCCUGCGCACAAAAUAGAGCUUGCACUGUCGUAGGCUCCAUGGCUCUGAGCUCCUCCACAUUCGGCAAGGCAGGUGAGUUUGCAGAUGCGCAGCUCCCUCACUCCUGCGACGUCCACCAUGGAAUGCUCCGUCCCGGCGGCGUGGUGACCAUGUCGGCUCCCGCGCGCACGACAUCGUGCCGUUCGGGGUUGCGGUGAGUGCCACUAACCCCCCGGCCGGGGUGCGUGUAGUCGUCGCCGCUGCCGUCGUCGUCGUUGUCAUUGCGCUGAGGCUAAGUGAAUCCCCCUUCCUUGCAGGUGCGCCCAUCAGCGCGGCGCCUGCCGUCCCCACGCUUGUAGUCGCGCCUUCUGUCGCGCCUCUGCUUGCCAGCCGCUCACCUUUUGUCAUGCGGGUGCUCCUGGUCGCGGCCAUCGUGCUCGCGGGGUGGCUGAGAAAGGCGCACCGAGAACCUUGACCUUGUCUCCACUAGAGCUCCAUCCAUGAUGCCGUAGCGCCAAACGUAGGGACGUCAGAUCGGAGCGAAGGCGGCAGGGUUUGCCACCACGCCUAGCAGGUCAUGGGCUGCUGCCAAGUAGUCCUCAACGAGGCCAAUGUGAAGGAAAACCUCGUAGCGAAUUCCUUGCUGCUAGCGUUCCAGCAGCUCCUGUGACGCAGCUCCUGUGUGAUGAAGACCGUUGCCGUGGAUUUGUCGGAUGGCUUGUGGGUGAAGACUAGCCACAAGCGCUUGGGGAUCUGGCUCGGAUUGGCAAUCCACGCGUACAGGUCAAUAUGCCUCGUGUCCGUCGGUUGGACGAGGUCGGUGUUGAUGCACUGUAGGGCGCAUUUGCUACCAAUGACGCGUUCGACGAUGUCCGGCGUCCAAGCAUGGCUAGGGAUACCAUCAAAGUAGACCCUGUCGCAGUAGAAGAUCCACAUGCCCAGCGCGUGCGUGAGGCUGCGCCAGCGCUGCAGGCAAAUGUUGAUGUCAUUGCCCUAGAAUCUACCUUGUCGCCUUGCCUCAUCGCACUUGUCGUUGUGCUCGAACCGGAUUAGGAAUGGCUCCGGUUGGUUGCUGGUGAUGGUGAUGGUGCCACGGCGCAGCUGCAGCUUGUUGAGCAGGAGGGUUUCAAUGUCCUGAGCCCCAGCGCACCGUGGCAGGUGGAUUGCCCACGAGACCAGUGUGCAUCCCUCCAAGCCACGGGCAUCCUGUUCGAGGUUGAAGGAGUUGGGGAUGAAGACCGUCCCACAUCAGGACGUGUGUAGGGUCUCCAAUCGCCAUCGGCUUGACGCCCGGGUGCAGCGACAGUGGCGGCGGUGGAUGAGGCGUAGGAUAUGACGGUUGAGGCAGCGGGGGCAGAGGAGUUGGUGGCGGUGGAUGAGUUGUGGCCCGGCGCACUGGGGAGUUGAUUUGCUGGUGUCAGUGGUCCGGAGUCGGGGUUGGGCGUUGCUGACGGCGGGCAUGACAGUGGCAUUCCCGGUACCCCGACCGGCGACAGCAGAAGCACCAAACUGGGUCUCUGCAAGCAGACGCGCGAUGGUCCCAGGCGAGGCAGUUGAAGCACCUCCCCGCGGUGGCCAGAUUGAAGGCUUGGAGAGUUGCGGUUGGCCGGCACCUUGAAGAUGGCCUUGAAGAGGGGUCUUGUCGGCCGUCGCGCUGGCGUGGGCUGGCACGCUCAAGACGCAUUGAAUGUCGUCUGUGGCCUCGUACCACUAUCCAGCCCGACUCCAUGCCAUGUCUUGUACUGCCUCCUGCUCGAGCAGUCUCCUCGGCUCCGGUGGAUUUGGGCCUUGUUUACUUCCCAAGUUGGGAGUUGCAAAAUUGGCAUUUUGCUAUAAAUGCGACACUGUAGCGUUUCGUUUGUAUUUGUGAAUUAUUGUCCAAAUAUUGACUAAUUAGGCUCAAAAGAUUCGUCUCGCAAAGUACAACAAAACUGUGCAAUUAGUUUUUGAUUUCGUCUACAUUUAGUACUCCAUGCAUGUACCGCAAAUUUGAUGUGAUGGGGAAUCUUCUUUUUGUAUAGUGUUAAAGUUGGGAGUUUGGAGGGAAGUAAACAAGGGCUUAGAUGUGGGGACGGCGUGGUGGAGUAAAGGCUGUAGCAGGGAGAUCCUGGUGCGCAGGUGAGCGGCGAGCUAGCGGAUCUUGGGCAGGCGGUGGAGUAAAUGCUGUUGACGGGGGGCCUGACCUGCCGCGGCGGACGGCUUCCGCGUAGGUGGAAAGGGGUUUUGGCGUGGCCAGCACCGGAUCCAGUUGGGGGGAGCACGGAUCCGGCGUGGGUGGCACCCAAUCGACCUCGUCGGUCAGCGGGCAACCAUGGCGUGGCGGCAGAGGUGGGGAAUCGAGGAAGAAGCUCUCCCACGGGCUUUGCUGCGCCAGGGUGGAGGACGCGUGGAUCUGCUUUGGUGCAGUUUGGUGUUGUGGCUGGCGGCUCAGGAUCUUUGGUGGGGUGGGCGGGUUGGGCUCCGCCGUCCGCCGGCGGCGAGGGGACGACGACGGGAGGGGUAGCGGGUUGGGGGCGCACAUUUGUCUCUGCAGGAUACCGGUCGGGGGCGCACAUCCUGUCAAACGCCUUGCAUUGCUGCUUGCUUGACUAUUUGAGUUAGGUUCCAAAUACCGGUGCAUCAAUUUUAAUUUUUUCUGAGUAAUUAUUCAGGUUCCUACCAGAAGUUAACCUUUAAGGUUGACAGUUGAUACCCACAUCUAACUGAACCAAAAAAAAUCUACUUAAUCCAAAUGCACAUGAUCUCAUUGCAAAAUCGGAGUACGUUUCUCAAACAGUAUAAGCACCAAAUCAAAUUGAUGUACGCAUCUGAGUAUCUGACUCAACUUAAAAAUCACAUCUGUGAGUAAAUACACGGAAGAACGGAGCAGUCGAAGUGCAUGAUACUUACAUGGUUCCUUAAUACCUGAUGCUUCUCCGAUUCUCCCAAAGCAACAAGGCUAGAGCAGGCGGGCGUACCCAAGGAACUACCCAAUAGUGGCGCGAGAUUGGAUCCUGCAGUCCUCUCCAUCUGCAGCCCCAAUCACCGGCACCGAGUCGGCGAUGCGGCAAGGCGUAGACUGGGGAGAUUUCCUCAUGGGAUAGUACCAGCUGCGAGUGCGCCGUAGGAGAUGGCCGAGAAUGCAGUGGCUGGGGAUGGUUCUGUUCACCGCCGCGCAUCUCGACGGACGACGGCGAGACGGGUAGACGACGCCGGCGCAGGGCGGAUCUCCAUGGACUAGGCCACCAUGCUCUACGCAGCCGAGCCCAUUCAGUGGUGAGGGCCCAUCAUCAAAAGUUGGACCGUGAUGCGUCCUGGGUCCAUCCAUAUGCCCGCCGUGCCGUAAACUUGUGCCGGUCUGAGCCAGACAUCUUCCAUCCCGUUGCUUUGCCUUCGAUGGCUCAAUAUACAAUCUGUCACAAUUCAGUCCAAAAAAAAAGAAAAAGAAAGAAAAGAACACAAUUUGUCAGAGAAAUUCCACACUCUUAUUGUAAAACUUGGUGCUGCAUUGUAAUUAUCCGCGCUCUGCAGAUUCCGAUAGACGUCACGUCACUACUUGAGAAGGUUGGUAAGGUGUUUUUUUUCCGCGAUCAUACCUUAGCACGUAUUUCAUUAAGAGAAGAAGAAAAGUUUGGUUACAAGAACUUGCAGCGUCAUCUGAGAUUGAUGACCUGCUAGCGCAUACAAGAAUUAAGAAGAAAUUACAUUUGCACCUUGCUGCGACCCUACUAACAGGUUACCAGGUAUGAUGUUGGGGUGGGCGGCUGCUGUAAAUGGCGCCAGGCAAUGAAAUCCUGCCAAAAUGGACAGCAUCCCCGUCGUCAUCUGAGCAUGAUUGAAAGUUCUUUCAUUUCUUUCCAACCAAAUGGACCAACCCACCAGGAUAAUGAGAGAGUCUAAUGUUUUCCUGGCUGACCUAUCCACACGUUUUCUCACUACUAGCCACCAGUCAGGAAAGGAGGACUCAGAAACAGAGGGUGCUAAGUGCUGCCAAUUCAGUUCCGAUAGAAUAAGAUGCCACAACUCCCUUGCAUAGACACACCUAACUAGCAGAUGGUUUAUGGUUUCAGACUCCUGGGUACAAAGAAUGCAAGUGUCGUCAUUUUAAAGAUUAUGUUUCUUGCGUCUAGAGGCUGUCCAGCAGCGUCCAUUGAUAGCAAGCCAUAUGAAGAAUUUGCAUUUAGGGGGUGCUCGGGUCUUACACAAAGCCUUUGCCCCAUGUAUUUCAUACUGUCCAAUGAAGAAUGCAUUGUAGGCCGAUGCCGUUGAGAAGUUCCUGUCUUGAGUCCAUUUUCACAAUACCUUGUCAAGUGUAUCCUCCUGUAAUGUGAUCUGUUGUAACUUGGUCCAAAUGCUUAUGUAUUCAAGAAGAACUCGAACAAUCAAUGCUCCAGUAAUGUCCCUGACCCAUUUUCCAUCUUGCAAUCCUUCACUUACUGUCCUUUUUUUUGCGAGCUCUAGGACCAAUCGCCUGAAGGAGACAUGGAGCAAUCUCUGCAAUCGAGCGACCGUCAAUCCAUCUAUCCUCCCAUAAAAGGAUGUUCUUGCCGUCGCCUACUUGAGUUGAGGUGGAGUAGUAGAACAAUUGGGCGACCUGCUGUUCAAUUGAAUCAGGUAAGUUAUGCUAUGAACGUGAAGUGUCAAUUUUCUUAAGCCAGAACCACCGCAUUCUUAGAGCAUAUCCCAUGAGGCGUAGGUCCGUAAUUCCUAGACCUCCCAAAAUAGAAGGUCGACAGCAUUUCGUCCAUGCAAGGAGACAAUGACCGCCAGAAAUCAUUUCUGUACCUUUCCAUAGAAAGGCCUUCCUGCGCUUGUCUAUUUGCUUGAUUGCCCAUGAAGAGAUGGCGACCGCGAUAGCCGUGUGAAUUGGAAUGGCUGACAUUUUUACCUUAACUAAGACUGUGCGUCCUGCCCUGCUCAUUAGCUUCGCCUUCCAUGUGGGCAAUCCAUCACAAACCUUAUCCACCAACUGCAUCAGGUCAUUCCUGCGAAGCUUUUUGACUGACAGCGGUAUUCCCAAGUACUUGCAUGGUAGGGGUUCGAGAUGACCGGGGAAGAAUUUGAGCAGCCUGAUUAUCUGUUCCAGGUCGCAUUGUAUGGGAGAGACAAGGCAUUUGUCUAGGUUUGUUUUAAGACCGGAUGCAGCUCCAAAGGUUGGUAAGGUGUUGGUUUCAGAAAACUGGUGCAUACGGUGCUAGUCCUCUCCUGUGAUUGCACUCAGCUCGUCCUCCGAUUCUGAUGGCUCUUGGAGUGGUCGACGUCGACGGUGUUGUUGCCCCAGACCGUCUCCACGGGCCUCCCGGCCGCCGCCGAUCUCCCAGACCAUGUUGAUUUUGUAACUGCACCAAACCGCACCGAUCAGCUUUAUUUAUACACUGAUUUAUAACUGAAGGCUUCCUCUGAGAAAUCAAGGGAGUGGUAUGGAUUUGCGAAAUGGGACUCAUCCAUCGGACUGGGACUGCACAAGUUUGCAUUUAGAAGAGGGAUCAGGGAUGGAUGCAUAUAUAUAAUCUUUUUUCCCUAGUACAAUAGUCAGCAACAUGAGUGGAUGCUCAUAGCAGGAUUUGGCAUGUCCAUCUGCUAGUUGCAUGGCUUAUAAAUCCACUGCAUCUUGGCAGCACAUUGGCGUUGCUUUAGUCCUGCCCCUAUCGAUCCUUCGUAGGUCCCUUGCAUUUGUUUUCUUGCAUUGUAUUAGUAUAAAAAAAACAAGUUCUGGUUCUGCUCGUGCAACAAAUAGUCAUAGAGAUACUUUGACGUGGAAUAGUCAGAUUAGACUGACCAACCAGCAGUGUUGGAGGAGACUAGACUUGGACCUACUCCCGGCUCCCACACGGCCACGGAAAUUGAAUUAAGUUUCUGUCAGUUCAGCUCAGAAGACUAACCUGUCAAACUUCGCCUACAACAGUUGCAUUCGUCGAACCAUCAUCAUUCGCUGACUUACCACUUUCAUAACUUUCUCAGGGAAAAAUAAAACCAGCCACCAACAUGGUCUGGUGAUUGCCGGCUUCUCCUCUGCGGCACCUUGUUAGCACACUUGCAGUCCCUCCUAUCGCGUUGCAAAGAUGCAACCGUCCCUUGCUCCUGCAGCCGCCGUGCUACUGCUCGCUCUGCUAACCAGUCACACCGCCACUGCUGCCGUAAACACGUCGACGCCGUGCGCGACAGCCUCGUGCGGGAACCACACCGUCGACCUGAACACGUCGACGCCGUUUGCGCCGGCGCUGUGCGGGAACCUCACCAUCGCCUACCCGUUCUGGCUCGCCGGCACGCAUCCGCCGGAGUGCGGCUACAUACAAGGCCUUCCAGGUUACGUGCGACAAGCAUGGCAACCUUUCCAUGACGACGAACUCUCGUAGAAAUAUGAGAGAAGUUGGAUUACAAUGCGACCGUGUCCUCGUAUUUAUUUAUAGGGGAGCGAGCACCUUACAUAAUUACAACACCCAGUUCUAUUUAUAGAGGAGCUCGAAGAGCACUGAACCGUCAAAUAUUUCACUCAUUCAUUCCUUUUAGCAAAAGAAUCAAUUAGUGCUAUUUAUGGAUUUUCUAAAUUAAUAUUCUAUAUGGUAUUUCAGGUGGCCAUAAUGGCAGGAUUACAAUACUGAUAGGUAUAUGCCACAAUUCGACAUAAUUUCAUAUCAAGUAAUGCAAAUUUCAGUACUUAUUUAUUGAACAAGUUACUUUUUAGUUCUAGUCUUUGGAAGACCAUAGAAGAGCUAUUAUAACGUUAUCAUAUAUGUUUGUGCAUAGACUCUAAAAUGAAAUUUUAGAACAAGUUAUCCUCAAGCAGUGUCUUCUAUUAUAAAUUAAACAAUUUGGAGCAAGAUCCGUUGUCUUUAAUUAUAUAGUUUUUUCCUAUUUUCCCACUAAGCACUUCUUCUUUUAUUUUAUUUCCAUAAAAAGCGACAGAAACGAAUUAUUUCUGAUCUUGAAAAUCUGAACAAUAAUAAUAUAACUCACUGCUUCAAGAGAAAAAUAACAUCCGCUUUAAUUUCAGUUUUGAUGACAGUUGCUACAGGCUUGGUCCUACCAUGUGUAUAUGUGCAAGCUUUGCCUCCCCUUGCACACAUCCCCAUUCCCCAAUCCCCUCCAUUCCGCAGCCUCCUAGCUCCUAUACUGAUCGAAAAACAAGCUUGAUGCAUCCGGCCCUGGUCCUCUUCCCGCUGGCCGCCUCCUUGCUCCUCCUCCAAGACCAUGCAAGCGCCGACUGCGAGCCGGCGACAUGCGGGAACCUCACUCUCAGAUACCCAUUCUGGUUGGGCAGCGGCAACCAGACCUCAUCACCCUGCGGCCACCCGUCCUUCGAGAUCCGGUGCAGCGACGACCGCCGCCGGAGCGUAGCCUCACUGAAGGGCUCCUCCAUCCACGUCCUCUCCAUCGAUUACGCCAACUACUCCUUCGUCGCCUCCCACACCAGGGUCGCCGCCGCCGACGGCGUGUGCCGCACCGACUUCAACAUGUCGGUCAGCAUCGCGAUCAGCCAGUUCACCAUUAGCCCCCGGAACCGCGCCCUGUGCUUCCUCUACAACUGCACCGGCGGCGCGGCCCCGAUCGGGCCCGACGAGUACGUGAACGCCACCUCCAGCUGCCGUGCCCCCAUCUACGCGUACCUCGGCGGGGCCUACUACUGGGACAAGCCGCCGGCGAUCGCGACGGACGGGUGCACGUACACGUACUUCCCAGUGCUGGGGCGGGAGCCGGAGACCAUGACGGCGGCCAACUACAGCCAGCUCCUGAAGGACGGAUUCGUCCUGGAGUGGGAGGCGGCAGGGAUCGGGAUCGGCGACUGCGCCGCCUCCGCCUGCAACGCGAGGGGCGGGAAGUGCCGGUACGACAACGCCACCGCGGCGUUCCAAUGCCUCUGCCCCGACGGCUGGCGCGCGGCGGGGUCGACAUGCUCCGGUGAGUUGUCACUCUCCCACUUCCCUCCGUACACGUACAGUAGUCAGCGUGUGUGGACGCCGGCGGGCGACCCGGCGCAUGCCGCUUUCAGCUGCAAGACUUUCUUGGUCCAUUGCAUCAUGCGGAUUGCGGCGUGGCGAAGGCGCAGCGGCGCUGGCGCAUGCAUCGGCGUCGCGGUAGUGCUGCCCAUGGGGUUGGAUCCUCGUAGGCCCCAUGGAGAUUUUGCACGCAGCUCUCGCUCUCAGUAACCUUGGCUAGUUUCCCUCGAUCCACCGGUAGAAUGGCCCGCGGCAGCUGGAGUGAUGGCUAUCUUAAGACUGUGUGGCGCGCGGACUGGCCACGCCGCAAUCCCUGGUAAACGCGUGUGCGGUCAAUGUCGUCUUCCCUGCCGGGUGCUCGCCGCGGCGCGGAGCAACAGGGGAGGGGGCCUGCCGCUGCCGGGCGUCGUUUUCGCCUGCCAUUAGCUUCUCCACGUGCUCUUUCGCGCAUGAUCGUUCCCGUUGGUGCGCUGACACAUCAACGGUAGGGUAUAUCAUCACUUGCCUCAAGCUUCAGCUUGAUCCAUAUCUUAUUGCUAUUAGUAGGUUGCCGUUAGCAUUGCUGACUUGCUGUCUUUGCUGAAGUGUCCAUUUGUGGCAAGUGGGUGCACUAAGUGCGUAAGGCUAGGGUCACAAGUGGCCACCAAAUCUGCACUUCUGAUUUUCUAGUCAAAAUAAUAAGGGGCACUUUUUAUGGACAAGUAUCUCAAGUAGGUUUACAUGAUAGUCUUUGGAUCCCAGUCCAAAUUACAGGCAAAUAUUGUCUUGCAGUGUUUGAUUUAUAAAUAUGAACAAAAAAAUCCAAAUUGCCAUAGGCUUUGUUCAUAAGCUUAGAGCUUGGAGCUUUGCCGUAAAAAAGCAGCAUGAAUAACCAUUUAGAUGGAAUGCAUAAGAAAAACACAUGACUUUGAGACGAGAGAAGAAAUCAAAAUUUUAGUGUGACAUUGAGCCUCAUGGUAGAAUCCCUUCAAAAUUCCAAUGGAAUACAACAAUUUAUAAGAAAAUUCUAGGAUACAUAGGAGCCCGUUAUUUGGUUACACAUAUUACCAUGAUGUCAACAGAAUUUGUAUAUAUCAAUUUGAUCUUGACCUAAAACUUUAAAUUGAAUGAAAGAAUUCAUAUGUUUCAAUUGUAAAGAUACAUGACUUCUGACUAGUAAAAACAGCUUUCAACUAUCAAAUACCAACUUUCAGUGGAACCUUGAUUGGAAAUUCCAAUCAAAGAAUUCAGAUUUUGACUUCCAAUAUUCAUACAUUCAAACAAGCCAAAAUAUGCUUUGAGUCUUGACCCUGACUUCAAACUAUCAAAUUCUUACUUUAAAGUGUUUGAUUCGACAAUUGGCAUGAAGGAUAUACUACUAUCAAAAAGGGGAAAGGGAAUUCAACUCAAAGAGAAAGCUUUUGAUACAAAAUGUUAUAAUCUUUUCACCUAACAUAUAGGGCAGGGGGCCCACUAUGGUUAUCUUUACAAAAAAGUUAUACUACUUUACUGUUACGUGUGCAGCUAUAUAUACUCUUUUCUCUCACCAAAACUUAAAAUGAACUGACGUAUACCUCGACCUUGACCUCAACUUUUAGGAAGAGAAUUCAAAUGUUUGAACUAGGGUGAUCGAUGACUUCCAACUAGACAAAAAUAACUUUCAACUAGCAUGCCAACUUUCAAUGGAGCCUUGAAUGGAACUUUCAAUCAUAGAACUCAGAUUUUGACCCUUCCACUUAAUUUCAUCAAUUGAAACUAGCAAAAGUAUGCUUUAAAUUAUCCGCAUCUAAAACAAUAUUUCAAGUUCUAACUUUAAAGUGUUUGACUCAACAAUUUCCAAGCACAAUACUAUCAAAAAGAGAAAAGGGGAUCCAACUCAAAGAAGGAAAAAACAUCGUACUUGAUAUAAAAAGAUAUACCAAAAAUGCUUGGUCUUUUUACGUACUUCCUCCGUUUCAAAAUGUAGGUCGUUUUGAUUUUUUGAGAUUUAUAGAUUUUGUUAUGUAUCUAGACAUAAUGUAUAAUGUAUAUCUAGAUGCAUAUCAAAAUCUAUGAAUCUAGAAAAGUCAAAACGAUCUACAAUUUGAAAUGGAGGGAGUAACUAAAGGCACAACCCCACUAGAGGUCUUUCUCCGUAGAGUAUGGCAUCCAAUCAAUUCAUCAAUCAAGCCCACCAGUACCAUACGCCAUCUUGUUUCUCACCUCGAACCGGUCCUCUUCCCCAUCUCCGAUUAUUUCUCUAUGGUGCCUUCACCUCUCCUCCAUCAUUCUCCUUUCUAGCAGCUCAUUCGCCGGAUCUACCCCAGCUACCACCCGAACCCUACGGAUAGCAAUUCCCCUAGCCACAUCAGCAAUUCGUCUACGUGGUAGUGUAUUUAUUGCUAUGGAAACUAUCCUCGUCACUGCGUUGGGACUGCCCUGAUACGUGAGAUGAGUUUCAUGAGACGCGCAGUUAUCUAGUUCUCAAUCUUAAUAAUUAUGUAAUAAAACUGUACACUGAGACUGGCCUUAAAAGAAGACUUGAGACUUGGGUCUUGGGUCAGUGGUGAGUGAGUGGUGACUUCAGCGCAUCUUUCCCAUGCACGGCAACCACAAGACUACCUGCAUGAAAGGUAAAAGUACAAUGCACCGGCAAUUUUCGAUCUCGUACUUCUGCGCAAGUAAACUGUUCAACUCUUCCACCAAAAUCUGCCUCGCCAUGCAUCACUCCUCCACAUCACCAUAGAUUCCUGCUACAGCUAUCAUUUUAUCUGUUGCCAGGCUGUUCCUCUGCUCCCCAUCGCACUCAACCAGUGUUCGAUCACCAUGAUAUGCAAAGAUGUGUUCACUUUUGAAGAUUGUCGAAAUGCCCAGUCAAACAUUUCGGCAGCUACAGUCAACACAGCCACACAGUGACACAGGACGCGCGGGCCCACCUUCGCUAUUUAGUCGGUCACUUUAGCGGUUGUGCCUCAUGUGCUCCCAUCACCGAUUCACCCCUUUGUUCGUUUCGUCGCUACUGCAAUAGUCUAAACCUUCCCACUCUUCUCCGAUGGCUCCGUCCUUGCUGCUCUUCCUCGUCUCGUCGGUGCCGCUGAUUCUUGCUGCCGGAGAAGAGCACUGCCCGACCGUGCCAGUGGCAUGCGGCAAAGUCAACAUCACCUUCCCGUUCGCGAUCGUCCCGGAUGAGGCCACGGAGACCAGCUGCGGUUUGAUUGGGUUCCAGGUUCGUUGCUCGAACAACACCCCGUACCUCGGCUACCAUAAUGGGCUCUACGGACACCAGUUCCAGAUCCUCGACAUCUUCUACAACAACGCCUCCUUGCUCCUUGCCGAUGUCCACAAGCUCCAAGACUUCAAUAACUCUGCUUCGGAAAAAUGCCACGCCCCGACGAACAACAGCUCCAACAAUCUCGGUAUUCCGUUCUCGAUCAGCCCUAUUAACCAGAACCUGAUCUUCUACAACUGCACGAAGCCCCUGUCGGAGGAGGAGAGGUGGAGCCGCGGGCUUGUGGAGACGACCUGCGGGAACAUGACGUUCGUUCGCGUCGCCGGGCGUUCCGACGGCUUGGGAAGCUACGACAGCUACUUUUUGGAGGGCUGCAACUCUACCGUCGUGCCGGUGCUUGCGAGGUAUGGCCAUGCGAACGCGAGCAACUACAAAGAGCUCAUCAGCGAUGGCUUCGUCUUGACAUGGGAGGCGCCACUGAAGUCAGGUAUAUUUCACUCUUCCAACUAAUACAUCACUUCGACCUAUAGAAGAACCUUGGAACAGCCAGACAUUUCCUAGCACUCCCCUUAGAACGAGCCUCAUCAGCGUAAGGCGUAGAGACUCCAGAGUACGGACCUGACGACCCAACCCACUGAUUUGAUAAGGGCGUAGCGAAACGCAUGUCGUCGUCCCCAACCGCGGUAGGCGUGUUCGCCGCCGCCACUCUGCCGUCCGGCGUACGUCCGUCAACACACAAGUCAAUGAGAUAUUAACACCGGAACAAAUAAAUACAGAAAGGAAAAUAAAAGAAAGAGACAAAAAAAGAGGACCAAUCAGACGGUUGGAGGGACCACGACCAGUCAAACCGCUCGUCACCGUCCUUUCUCCCCUCACCUCAUAUCCGCUCCGCCCCCCAGUCCGUUCCACUCCUUGUUCUCCUCCCUCACCGUCACCGAACUCCAAACCAUUCCACUGCCACCCCAUCCACAAUCCGAUACGCAUCCGCUCCUGCUACUCCUGCUCCUGCUCACUUCCUUCCUCAUCCGGGCGGCGGCGGCCAGCGUGGAGAAGUCGUCAGGCUGCUGGCCGAAGGCUACUGCCAUCGUCGAACCUUCACGUGCUCCCAUGGCUUCGGCCUUGUUGGUCUUCCUCGCCUCGUCGGUGUGGGUGGCCUUCUCGGCACCACUGAUGCCUGCUCCAGCAGCAGAUAGGCAAGGCAGAGAGCACUGCCCGUCCCAGCUAUGCGUCAUUGUGAACAUCUCCUUCCCGUUUGGGCUCGUUCCGGAGGAGGACGCCGUGACGCACUGCUAUGCACUGUUCCUGGUUCGUUGCCGUAACAACACCCCAUACCUCGGAUACUAUCAGACCGAGUUCUUCAUGCAGAUCCUCAGCAUCUUUUACGACAACGCCUCCUUGCUCAUCGCUGAGACCCAGGAUCACAAUGACUCUAGACACCUGGAACUAGGCUGCUACAUCCCGACAGGCAACGCCACCUCCAAGAUCGGUCGUCCGUUCUCGAUCAGCCCCCUCAAUCAGAAUCUCAUCUUCUACAAUUGCAUCAAGCCGCUGCCGCCAUCCGUGGGGCUUGCAGAGACGAUGUGCCGCAACAACACGUAUGUUCGCGUCGCUGCCGAGCGUUACGAUGGUCAUGGCAGCUACUUCUUGGAGGGCUGCAACUCUACCGUCGUGCCGGUGCUUGCGAGGUAUGACCAUGCGAACGCGAGCAACUACGAGGAGCUCAUCAGCGAUGGCUUCCUCUUGACAUGGGAGGUGCCACUGAAGUCAGGUAUAUUUCACUCUUCCAACUAAUACAUCACUUUGUCCUAUAGAAGAACCUUGGAACAGCCAGACAUUUAGCACUCCCCUAGAACGAGUCUCAUCAGCGUAAGGCGUAGAGACUCCAGAGUACGGACCUGACAACCCAACCCACUGAUUUGAUAAGGGUGUAGCGAAACGCAUGUCGUCGUCCCCAACGGCGGUAGGCGUGUUCGCCGCCGCCACUCUGCCGUCCGGCGUACGUCCGCCAACACACAAGUCAAUGAGAUAUUAACACCGGAACAAAUAAAUACAGAAAGGAAAACAAAAGAAAGAGAUUAAAAAAAGAGGACCAAUCGGACGGUUGGAGGGACCACGACCCGUUGCAGCCGCCACCGCCACAGCCACCGUUGCAACCGUGAGCAGGUAAGUUCACUUUUUUAAACGAAUAAAAUACGAUUAGUAGGAUGAUGCUUUGGCUUUGACCUAUAAAAAACUAAGGGCCAGUUUGGCAGGGCUCCGGCUCUGGCUCCGUGCGCUUACCGAAGCACGGAGGAGCCGGAGCCGCACCAAACGGCAUUGACCGCGGAGCCAUUUUUUGGCACAUUUGGGAGGAACCGGAGCCGUUUUAGGCCUGCAUGGAGGAGCCCAAAAAAGUGGCUCCGCGGCUCCGGCUCCGGCUCCACACGAGGAGCCCCUCGCGAGGAGCCCUGCCAAACUCGCCCUAAGCCUAGUUCUAGUUCAAGGAUUCCUCUGUUCUCUCAAACAAGAGCCACAUCGAAGGUACUAAAUAGUGUUCGUAACGAUCGUUAUAGAGGUAGCAGUACUCUACCGCAACAAAGUAGCGGACCCAAGAUAGCAUGUAUAGACUUAACAGCCGCUAUUAUCCACUAUUGCUCGCUAUUGCAGCCUCUGUUGCUCAUGUUAGGCCGCUAUUCGCUAUAUUUACAGUUCAAGUGAUAUAUGACCAUGAAUCAAAUCAAAUGGUUAUAAUAAUGUUUAAAAUGGUUAUUUAGGUAAUGACCAAGAGUUAUUGAUGAAAAAUAAUUUUUUUUAUUUAUUGAUAUGGGAAGUUAAUGUUAAUAUAUAUCCAUACAUCUUAAUUAUACCUAUUUAUUUGUGAUUCUUACCAUGAAAUGUAAACUUGAUGUUAAUAUUCAUAUAUGCUUUAAAAUUGUGACUAUUUUGUGAAUUCCGCUAUUUGAACUUAGCGUCCGCUAUAGCAUCCGCUAUCCGCUACAUCAGCACUAAUUUGCUACCAUACUGCUAAAUGCUAUUUAGUACCUUAGCCAUAACAGGCUAGCAGGGAGCUAGAGACCAUGUAGUAUGGACUACGGACCUGGCAACCCAAACCACCAACCAGCAUACUAUCCACGCUGAUGAUUUGAUAAGGGCGUAAGCCGGUUGUCAUCCCCAACCGUGGCCGCUGCCACUUGUUGUCCGGUAAGUCAAUGAGAUGUUAAAACUUAAAUAAACAAAUUCAGAGAGAUGGAGGCAUGAACCACGACCGGUCGCCACCGUCCUUUCUAGUUUCUCCUAUCAUCUCAUAUCCGUAUCCGUCCCGCUAUCUGUUCCGUGCUCACAUUCCUCCGCCAUUGCCACCCCAUAUGCCUCUGCUUCUCCUCCUGCUGCUCGCUUCCUUCCUCCUCCUCCACUGGGCAUCAAAUGAUGAAAAUCAUCUUCAUGUUUAGUCAUAAAUUCUUCUUUUUCCUUUUCUUUUAGGCUUUCUUCUGCCUAUAUAUACUGUCAAGUCUUAUUUGCAGUAACAAAAGUAGUUCAGCUAUAGACUAAAGAGGGCAAAGUUUUCAUGUCAGACUAACUUAAACUGCACAAUUUUACAAUUGAAAUGACAAGCUAUUCACAGUGACUGUUCUUAUGCAGGAGGAAGCAAUAGGAAAAAGAUAGUCAGUAUCAGUGAGUAUCAACUCUCAACCUUCAUGGCUUAUCUAUUAUACUUGAUCUCUUUUCCUGCUCUACUGAAACUUUGUAGCAUCAUAUGUUUUCAGCAUCUAUUUGAUUAAUUAGUUAUUGCAUAUUGCUAACACCUUUACACUGUUAUUGCAUAUUGGGAAAUUUGGAGGAGGAUUUGUUGUCUUUGAUUAUAUGGCUUCUUCAUAUUUUCUUACUUUGCACUUCUUCUUUUGUUUUUUUUGUAUAAAAAAGAGAAAAAUAUGAAUUGUUGACGGUCUUGGAAAUAUGAAUGAUAAUAAUAUAGCAGCUCACUGUUUCAAGAGAAAAAGAGAAAAAUAACAUAUGCUUUAAUUUCAGUUUCGAUGACAGUAGCUGCAAGCUUGCUCCUACCAUGUAUAUAUAUGCUUGUAUGGCAUGGAAAGAGAGGAAAGCUACAUUUUUUCCUAUGUGAAAAGACUAGCAAAAGCACUGAAAGGAACAUUGAGGCCCUAAUAGUUUUGCAUGGAUCCCUAGCUCCAAAAAGAUACAAGUACUCACAAGUAACAAAGAUAACGUCUUCCUUUAGUGAUAAGCUUGGGGAAGGUGGUUAUGGUUCGGUUUUCAAAGGAAGGCUAGAUGAUGGUCAUCAAGUUGCUGUGAAAUUCUUACACGACUCCAAAGGAGAAGGGGAGGAUUUUGUUAACGAGGUUAUGAGCAUUGGCAGGACCUCUCAUGUUAAUAUUGUUAGCUUAUUUGGGUUUUGUUUGGAAGGCUCAAAGCGGGCCCUAAUAUAUGAGUACAUGCCCAAUGGUUCUUUGGAUAAGUUCAUAUACUCAGAGAGUCCUAAAGCAGUUUUAGGAUGGGAUAAGCUCUACACAAUAGCGAUUGGAAUUGCUCGAGGAUUGGAAUACUUGCAUCAUAGUUGUAAUACACGCAUUGUCCAUUUUGAUAUCAAGCCUCAAAAUAUCCUUCUAGAUGAGGAUUUUCACCCAAAGGUUGCUGAUUUUGGUUUAGCCAAAUUGUGUCAUACCAAGGAGAGCAAGCUUUCUAUGACUGGUGCUAGAGGAACAGUUGGUUUUAUUGCUCCUGAAGUUCACUCUCGAACCUUUGGAGUUGUUUCAACAAAAUCAGAUGUUUAUAGUUAUGGAAUGAUGUUAUUAGAGAUGGUUGGAGGCAGAAAAAAUGUGAAAUCAGUUGCUCAGAAAUCAAGUGAAAAGUAUUUUCCACAUUGGAUUUAUGAUCGUGUUAGACAAGGUGAUGGAUUACAAGCAUGUGAGGUCUCAAGUGAAAAUGAAGGAAUAGCCAAAAAGAUGAGUGUGAUUGGCUUGUGGUGCAUCCAAAUACUACCAAUGCAUCGCCCUACAAUAGCAAAGGUUUUGGAAAUGUUUGAGCGAGGUUUAGAUGAUUUGGACAUGCCACCGAGACAAAACUUCAGCCAAAUUCUGUAAGAUGUUCACGCUACUUAUUUCUGGAACUACUCACUACUAUUUACUAUAAUGUUGAUGUUUUAGAAACAAUUCUUUUCAUUCUUUUGCAGCGAAGAUCCAUGUUGCAAUUUGAAUGCAGAAAGCACGAGUACAAGAAGUGGUACCAAAACUCAAGUUUUUAGCGAAGUGCUAAAAAUGAAGGAGAUGAGCGUUGUGAAUUCAAAAAGUUUACAUCGGUUACCAACUCUGUGACAAGGUUACCUAGCAUUGGAAUUAUGCACUGAACUUAUGCAUCUAUAUGAGCUAGGGUAGAAAUCUUAAGUUACUCUGAUACUUGUCUCAAAAGAAACAUGCUCACUAUACUAUUUUGCAUUCAAAGUCAUUAAGGCCCCAAGAAGGAAAGUUUUGCAACUAUGCAUACGAUAUUUUGACAUAAUCCUAACAUUUCUAUAUCUUUGUUAGUUAGACCUACAUAAUCCUAACAUUUCUAUAUCUUUGUUAGUUAGACCUUCUCAUUGUUCUUCACUGACGCACCAGCACCCCUUAUAGUCAUCCAUCACCCAAAAUUUACCAAACGCUAAUGACACAUCUGUACCAGAAUCAGGUAAAUGAAAAGGUAUCCAAGGCAUUACACAUACUAGAAAAAAAUCAAGGCAUUAUAGUUUUCGAGUCACGGCCUUAUUAGUAGAGUCGAUCAAGCAUAUAGUUGGAUCCUAAAUUAUUGCCAUGUUGAAAUAUGAGGAUGAAGGCAUAAAGUUGAUCGUAGCCAUGAGUCAUGACACAUGUAUAACUGAGGCCUAAAGGAUCAUAAAUUUUGCUUGACAGUUAUGUAGUUUCUAAAUUUAACCUUCCGGUUCCUAACAAAAGUUAAGGUUGAUAGUUGACACCCACAAGCCGUCCAACUGAACCCUAAAAAGAAAACUACUCAAUCCAAAUACUCGUGGUCUCAAUGCAAAAUCAGAAUACAUUUUCAAACAAUAGAAGGACCGAAUCAGAUUGAUCUACGCAUCUGAUAACUAAAAAUCACAUAUGUGGGUAAAUCGAUCAUAAAUCUUGUGGAAGUACGGAACCAGGGGCGGAUCCAGGGCCCGGGCUGCUCGGGCUGCAGCCCGGGGCGAGACCGUGGAGUCCCUUUAACCUACGUACUGUUUAGCCUAACAAAAUAAGGUUUAUGAGACAAAAUUAGACUAUUUUAGAUGUGAUUCAACAGCUCAGCCCGGGGUGCAGCCCCGUUCUGGAUCCGCCCCUGUACGGAAACCAAUCAAAAUGUGUGAUACUUACAUGGUUCUUCGAAUGCCCGCUGCUUCUACUAUUCUUCCAAGGCGACAAGGGUAGGUUAGGCAGGCGUACCCAAAGGGUUUAUGCCACUGAUGGUGCGAGAUUGGAUUAGUACUGCAGCCUCUCCAUCUACCACCCUAAUCACCAGCACGGAGCCGGCGAUGCGGCAAGGCGCAGAGUGGAGAGAUUCUUGAGGGAUUUCCUCAUGCCCUCAUAGGAUGGUACCAAUUUUUUUUGGUACUGGCUGCUAUUGCGCCGUAGGAGAUGGCUGGGGAUGGUGCUAUAACUGUUGUUCACCGCCGCUCAUCUCGAUGGCAAGACGGCAACUGCAACAGCUCGGCAACUCGUUCGUCAGUCGUUGCGGCCUAGAGCGGAUCUCCAUGGACCGAGUCCAUCUGAGGCGAGGGCCCAUCAUGAAAAGUUGGACCGUGCCAGGUCCACGCAGGCACGCCGUCGCCUCCGAUGGCCCAAUACAAUUUGUCAGCGUCUCCAAAAAAGAACACAAUGCAUAUGAUGUGUGCUCUCUGCACAUCCUGACUUGGGAAGGUGACAGGGUUUUGUUUUCAGGAAGCUGGAUGCAUAGCCUGGACGUUUUAGGUUGUGUGGUGAAUACAGUGCUAGUCGUCUCCUCUGAUGCUCUCUUGGAAUGGCCGAGUGGCCGACGAUGUUUGUACCGGCCUGGAGUCCUUUCAAUAUCUAACUGUUGCCAGCUGUAUGUAGUUAACUUUCAGGGUUAGUGUUUGGCAUAAAUGAGUGAAGCUUGCUUGGCCGACAAGAGCGUGUAUUACCCGGAGCUGAUCAGGCUCAGGGCGCGCAUCCAGUCACGUCAGUGUCUCAUGACAGUCGUCGCUUUGCCCCGUCCCAUACGGGCACAUCGGACGUUUCCGUGCGCGGAUGACGAUGGUCCCAAUGUGUCCACUCAAAGCUUUCUGCCGCUACAGUCUACACAGGGCGCGCGACUCACCAGCUUCACCAUUUAGUCUGGCGCUUCUGCCUAUCUAUAUUCGUCCAGAACUGAUUCACCACUCUGUUCGUCCUGCUACUGCCAUCGUAGAAACCUUCCCAUACGCUCCCAUGGCUCCGUCGUCCUUGCUGCUCUUCCUCGUCUCGUCGGUGCCGGGUGAUGCUUGCGGCAGCAGCAGCAUACGUGCAAGGAGGAAAGGACCGCGCACCUGUGGUAUGCGGCAACCUCAGCAUCUCCUACCCGUUUGUGUUACUCUCGGAGGAAGCAACGGAGUAACUACGCAGUGCUCGGAUUCCAAGUCGUUUGCUCAGGCAACACCCUUUACCUCGGGUUAGGUUUUAAGGUAUCGUUCCAGAUUCUUAACAUCUUCUACGGCACGGGCUCCUUAUUCGUUGCCGAUGUCUACAAGCUCCACGACUUCAAUAGCUCCGCGCCCAACGGCUGCCAUGCCCCAGGCGUCAACGUCUCCACAAAGCUCGGCAGCCCAUUCUCAAUCAGCCCCGUCAAUCAGAACCUCAUAUUUUACAACUGCACCAAUCCAGCGGCAGAGGAGGAGAGGCAGAAACGCGGCCUUGUGGGGACGGCAUGCCGCAACAACACGUUUGUUCGCGCCGGAGGUCGUUACGACGAGACGAGGGGUCGGGCAGCUACAGCAAUUACUUUCUGGAGGGCUGCAACACUACCGUCGUGCCGGUGCUUGGGAAUUCUGGCGAGGCGAACGCGAGCAGAUACGAGGAGCUCAUCAGCGGCGGCUUUCUCUUGACACGGUCGUCAUCGCCACGUAAAUUUCACUAAGAUUAAUUUAAGACCAUCCUACAGGGAGAACUCACAACAAUGAACAAUGCAUAUGCAUCAAACUCGUGGAAGGUAUUGUUGGACGUUGAAGGUGGCGUAGCUCGAUGCAUGACCCACCGGGCCAAAAUAGUCUAAUUAGGGAUGGUUUCCUCUUCAUGCCAUUUUUUGCUGCCCGGUGUACAUGUACAACCUGCCGCGGCGCUCGUGUGCCUCUGCCCCGACGGCAAGCGUAGUAGUUGGCUUGAGUGGAAGCUGGUACCUAGGAGUAGUAGAGGCUGGUAUAUACUGGGGCAGCACGCGGGCUGAGAGAGAGGCCUCCCCCAAACCCUAACCUCCAUUCCGUCGCCUCCCCGCAGCCCCGCUCCCUCGCUCCUCUGCAGAUCCGCCGCCCAGAGGAAGAGGAAGAGUAGCACAUCGUGGACGUCGGCAUCCCUGACACCGUCCCUAAGGGCGGGGUCCUCGGCGGGGAGCAUGGCCGCGAGCGUGCCGAGCGCGAGCGUAGCCUGCUCCUACUGGAUCUACAGUGCCUCCGCCAACGCGGUGGCACCCACGCGCCCGCCUCCAGGGCCGCGGCGGCGAGCUUCUCCUUGAGCUAGGCGAGGGUCUGCACUAGCGUGCCCUCCAGGAAGAUGAGCUUGGAGAUGGGCAGGAGGCUGUGCUCGAACGCCUCCCGACGCGGGCAGAGCAGCGCCGCGGGGGUGGCGGCGGUGUCGUUGUGGUAGGGGACAGGAAUGGAGCCGUGUCCAGCGGCGAGUCGAGGGUCUCGUCGGCCAUCGUGGCGACAUGAGAGGGGAGGCGUGGGGGAGGGGGAAGAUCUGGGAGUACGGUGGGAACGGUGAGGAAAAGGCAGAGGCAGUGACUCGAUGCGUGCAGGUUUUUUUUCCUUUCUCUUGUUUGAAGGGUAGUUUGCUUGUUAAAUAAGGGUUGGUUUGAUGCCAUGUCCGCGGGCUGGCACGAGCACGGCGAGGCUGUUAAAGCCCGCUGAGCCAGCGUGCUGGCACGGUCCACCUAAGAAGGCAGCGGGCCGUGUAUUGGCCGCUUCUUCGGCACGUGGGCCAGCACGGCACGGCACGGUUACUAUAUGGGCCUAAACGUUCCGAGUCAAAUCGUGCUCGUGCCAGGCCAGGCCGGACCGCCUGUUUGGCCAUCUAUACGGCCGCCACGCAGACAGCCAUCUUUUCCAGCUCAAGUGUAACAGCAGCGAGAGGUGGAUCUGGAAAAAGGUUAUAUAGGGGGGCUGAGCAUUGGGCUCAAAUGCAUUGUUAAACUAAGUUUGGGCUACUUCAUAUUGGGCCUAGUUACAUUUACCGGUCCAAAACUAAAACCACCCACUUCAACCUUCAGAUCUUACUCCAGUCUCCAGCUUACUUGGGGCCUAGGCUCCCUUGUAUCAGUGUCAGUAGGCCCCCUUAUCCCCACGCUGGAUCCGCCCUGGCAGCGAGGCCUUCUUAAGCAAAUCAAUCUCUUCCUGGAGUAUCCGGUGGUCAGCAUCUUCACCGAGAAUCAAUCUUUAGGCCUCCUCCAACAGUUGCUUCAUUGUAAAUUUAUUAUAACAGAUAGUAUAAGAGUCAACUUCUCCAACAAAAUAAAGAAAGAUGAUUGGAAAAGAUAAAAUACUUGGCCGCCAAAAACUGGGAAGCGUGCUUGAUGUUCAAGAGAUAACUUUUCUUUAUCUCUUCUUCAUCUCUCCUCCACAUAGGACAAUUAAUGACAUGACCUGCCUAAGAGUUAGUUGACAUGGUUUUAUUGAAGGAGGCCUUAGAUCAGAUCAGCGUUGUUGUUUUCGAGGGUGCUUCGAUGAGAGAGAAAAAGAUUCUCAUGGUGCUAUAUGGUGGAGUAGAGGGUGCUGGGGAGCAACUUCUUAGCACGGAUGCCCAAUUUUGCACCAGGUGCUACACAUACAAUUUAUUUUUUGGAGCAGCGUGAGUGGUCGGACAGGGAAGAGAGUGAGGAGAAAAAUUGGACUGCUGAUUUUUUUUUAUUCAGCUGGGUACCGAGGUUGGGGGUGCUCCACGCUGGAUCAAAAUAGUCCGAGCUCUACCUUCGUGACGUGUCCUUCGUGCUUUUUCUUCAAACGAACAUACGACUGCUGCUGGUCUUACAUGUCAAUAAAUAUCAAUAUUAGGACAUCCAUAUUAGCUAAUUACUGGUAAAAAAUUAUUGGGGAAAUGUUGGAGAUGCUCUUAAAGAAGGGGUUUCUCCUUGUCGGUGUUUUGUUUUGCCGACUAGUGAUUGUACGCCGCGCUCGCGCUCUCCUCCCUUCCGAUGGCUAGCGCACAAGAGACAAGGAAUUAUACUGGUUUGGGAAGAUCCCUACGUCCGAUUUCGGCAGAAGUCAUGUUCCUUGGAUCAGGUGCACUGAGCUUACAACAGGGUGCUUACAAGCAAGCGUGCAUGCGAUGCGAGGGUGUGUGUGUGAGUGUAGGAAGGCCCGGUUCCCUUUAUAUAGGAUAGGGACUGGGUGAUAAUGUUGAGAAAUGGAGGGGGUCCCCGACCUCUGAGGUCAGGGGUUGUGGCGUGGUCGAGCUGCCUUGUGUCAGGGAACUUCCUUGUCCUAUCUUCUUGGCCGGUCGUGGGCUUUGCACGCCCUGUACGGUGGCUCCUGUGCAGCGUGGACCGCUUACACAUGGCCUAGCCUGUUCCACGGCGUGCUCCAUCCCGUUUGCCAACCCCGUGGUAGUGAACGGGACGGAAGCUGCCUCUGAUGUCCGUACCGGAGAUGAGUGAGUGAGCCUUGGUCAGCGGCUUGGAAGAGGCAUGCUACUUCCCCAGCUUUCCCAGACCUCCUUAGUGUGCUCACAGCCACCCCACGCUGUUAUGCCUGACGCUAGAUCCCGCCUCGCCUGCGAGCCCAUAUGAGGCCUAGCAUGGUCUUGACGGGUCACCAUGGUAGCGAGGGUGAUAAUGACGUUGGGGCGCGUGGGCUCAUACGACUGCGCGUGCUUGCAGGUCGUCCUGAGCAGUCCGAGGGGUGUAGCCUCACCCUCGGACCCCCUAGCUAAAGGUCAUCUCCCUUCGCCAGGUCAUGUCCCAGCGUGGGGCGGUCAGGAGGGCCACACCCUGCAUUUAAUGCUCCCGGUACGACACCGGUCUCCCCUUAGUCAAGGAGUGGGUGGGGCCCUGUGGGCCCCUUACGGGCUGCGCUCCCAAUCUAGCUGAAUCGGUGAACUAUGGCCCUCAACUCCCGACCAAGAGAGGUCGGGUGAUAGGUCGCAGCGUCGUCUAGGCCACCUCCAAUACGCCUCUCGCUGUUGGACCUUUAGUCUUUUUGCAUCCGGUUACCUUAAAUUCCUUCCCCGAGUACCCCUGGCCCGUCACUCCUGGAGUGGACAGAGGUGCCAGGGAUUGCCCGAAGUGCAUGGAAAGGCAUUGCUCCGGCGUCAAGUGCGGUGAGUUUAGGAUACUGAUUGGGCUCGAGGAGAUUCUUAAAAAGAAAUCAUAUGAGGAUGCAUAGGCCGGCCCUAACUCUUGCAAUUUCGUACACAAGCAUUCCAUGUCUACCUAUUUAAACACACAACUUUUUCAUCAAUAAUUAGCCCAUGUAGAUUACAUGAUAUAAAUUUAUUAUCUAUGGAUUCAUAUUCAAAAGCACUCUGCAUUACCUGGAACAUUUGGAAGGACCGCAACGAUCUUGUGUUCAAUGCGAAAUUAACUCCACCGGCCGCCUGCGUCCGUGCCAUCGCAGUCGAUCUUGACCUGUGGGCUCAUCGUGCCCUUGGGAACACAGACACAGAUGUGGCGUACCUUAUUUUGUAACAUAACUUAAGUACUCUCACCUCUCUUCUACCCCCACAUCGCAAAAACUCGCAUAUUAAUACAUGGUUCAAGCCGGCUACUUGCCUGCCUUGGCACCUUUAAAAAAAUAUUCAAAAGCACUUUCAUAUACUUGAUGUCAAUUACAUGGUCGUAAAUAAUGUAAGGUAAUAUAAUACAAAAUAGAAUAAGAGAUUCUGAUGGUCAAGGUGUAGCCUUAAAUACCACAAUGAGGCAAACUGCGGCAUGCGUCAAGUGUAUCAUUCACUAUCAAUUGUAUCAUUCACUAUCAAUGCAUCUCCUUUGUCAAUUGUCGCUUCCAGCUCUAAUAAAAAGGAAGGGCAAUAUUAUACACACAAGAAUGGCAGAUCGCAGAUGUCAACUCAGGGGUGUAGCAUAUUAUUUGAAUUUUAUUUGCAAAUUCGGAACUGUCAAAUAUGCCACUCAUUCCUUCCUUUAAGCAAAAGAAUCAAUAAGUGCUAUUUGAUGCUUUUCUAAGCUAAUGCUAUUUCAGGUAGCAUAAGGAUUAGCUGGAGGAUAAUAAUGAUAGGUAUGCUACAUUUAACAUAAUUUCAUAUCAAGCAAUUCAAAUUUCAGUACUUACAUACUGCAACAAGUUACUUUUUUAUUUUUAGUCUUCGGAAG